rnacentral:rRNA from 1 species
UACGAAGGGGGCUAGCGUUGCUCGGAAUCACUGGGCGUAAAGCGCACGUAGGCGGACUCUUAAGUCAGGGGUGAAAUCCUGGAGCUCAACUCCAGAACUGCCUUUGAUACUGAAGAUCUUGAGUUCGGGAGAGGUGAGUGGAACUGCGAGUGUAGAGGUGAAAUUCGUAGAUAUUCGCAAGAACACCAGUGGCGAAGGCGGCUCACUGGCCCGAUACUGACGCUGAGGCGCGAAAGCCAGGGGAGCAAACGGG